rnacentral:rRNA from 1 species
CCUGGUUGAUCCUUCCAGUAGCAUAUGCUUGUCUCAAAGAUUAAGCUAUGCACGUGUAAGUACACACGGCCGGUACAGUGAAACUGCUGAUGGCUCAUUAUAUCAGUUAUGGUUCCUUUGAUUGCUCCAUCUGUUACUUGGAUAACUGUGGUAAUUCUAGAGCUAGUAAAUGCCGACGAGCUCUGAUCUCCCGGGAUGCGUGCAUUUAUCAGACCAAGACCCAUCCGGGCUCACCCGGCCGCUUUGGUGAUUCUAGAUAACCAUGGGCCGAUCGCACGUCCCUGUGACAGCGACGAUAUAUUCGGAUGUAUGCCCUAUCAACUUUCGAUGGUACUUUCUGUGCCUACCAUGGUGACCAUGGGUAACAGGGAAUCAGGGUUUGAUUCCAGAGAGGGAGCCUCAGAAACGGCUACCACAUCCAAGGAAGGCAGCAGGCACGCAAUUUACCUACUCCCGACUCGGGGAGGUAGUGACAAAAAUAACAAUACAGCACUCUUUCGAGACCCUGUAAUUGGAAUGAGUACACUUUAAAUUAUGUAACAAGGAUCCAUUGGAGGGCAAGUCUGGUGCCAGCAGCCGCGGUAAUUCCAGCUCCAAUAGUGUAUAUUAAUAUUGCUGCAGUUAAAAAGCUUGUAGUUGGAUAUUGGGUUCGAGCUGGCGGUCCGCCGCGAGGCGAGCUACCACUUGUUGCAGCCCCUGCCUCUCGGCACCCCCUUGAUGCUCUUGAUUGAGUGCCCUGCGUUCCGAAGCGUUUACUUUGAAAAAAUUAGACUGUUCAAAGCAGGCCGGUCGCCUGAAUACUUCAGCUAAGAAUAAUGGUGUAAUGUAAUGGAGGUGCUGAGAUGAAAAUAAGGUACUAACAACUGAAUGCAGUAGGGGGCAGCCCUCCCCUCACUUAAAGCUAAGCAGAGAAAUGUGUAUGGACUGAAUUAGUAUUGUAAUUAUGUGAAAAUAGUAUUCAUAGUGGUAAAGGAUAUUAGUAUUCUAAAAGGUGUCAUGUUUAUAAAAUCGAAAAUGCAUUUAUCAUGGUUUAGUAAGUAGGCAAGGUACAGAAGCAUAUUAUAAAAUUGAGUGGGAAAAUUACUACGUUUUUUCCUAUACACAGACAGAAAAGAACUCUGACAAUGCCUUUUACUGACAGUGCCUUUAACUGACAACGCUGCUAAAAUGAGUGAAAUGAAGAAAUGCUGCAGAGCGUGUUAAUAUGAGGUAGUCCUGAAGUUGAAACAUUC